rfam:Oryza sativa Japonica Group DNA, chromosome 7, cultivar: Nipponbare, complete sequence.
AAUACUUGUCGCUUUGAGUUUUUAUUUGUAACGUUUGAUCAUUCGUCUUAUUCAAAAAAUUAUGGAAUUAUUAUUUAUUUUUUUAACUUGUUUAUUAUCAAAAGUAUUUAAGUAUGACUUAUCUUUUUUUAUAUUUACACUAAUUUUUCAAAUAAGACGAAUGGUCAAAAGUUGCAAGCAGAAAGUCAAAGCGACAUCUAUU